rnacentral:siRNA from 1 species
AUCGGGAACUAGUUUGGGAACGGU